UUACGAUCAUAUCACGUUGAAACAUCGGUUCCCGUACGAUCACCGCAGUUAAGCAACGUCGAGCCUGGUAACUACCGAGAUGGGUGACCGUUUAGGAAUACCAGGUAUUGUAU